rnacentral:rRNA from 1 species
GUACGCAAGUAUGAAACUCAAAGGAAUUGACGGGGGACCCGCACAAGCGGUGGAACAUGUGGUUUAAUUCGAUGCAACGCGAAGAACCUUACCUGGCCUUAACAUCCCUGAAAGAAAUUGGAGACGAUUUUGUGCCUUCGGGAAUCAGGUGAUAGGUGCUGCACGGUUGUCGUCAGCUCGUGUCGUGAGAUGUUGGGUUAAGUCCCGCAACGAGCGCAACCCAUGUCGUUAGUUGCCAGCAUUUAGUUGGGCACUCUAACGAGACUGCCGGUGUUAAACCGGAGGAAGGUGUGGAUGACGUCAAAUCAUCAUGGCCCUUAUGGCCAGGGCUACACACGUGUUACAAUGGCUGGUACAACGGGCUGCUACUUAGCAAUAAGAUGCAAAUCCCUUAAAACCAGUCCCAGUUCGGAUUGUAGUCUGCAACUCGACUACAUGAAGUAGGAAUCGCUAGUAAACGCAGAUCAGCAACGCUGCGUUGAAUGUGUUCCCGGGUCUUGUACACACCGCCCGUCACACCAUGGAAGAUGGUAACGCCCGAAGCCGAUGAUCCAACCUUUUAGGAGGAAGUCGUCUAAGGCAGUGUCAUUAACUAGGGUG